ACCUGACGCGUUGGUCACGGGACUCUCUCGUGGACGCGCACGUUGGGAACGGUGACGUUGUUAAUGCAAUGUUGUUCUUUCUCCACUAGAUGGCAAUAGACGUCUUUAGAUGUUUAUCGAUCAACUUGCAAUCCCUUUAUUUACCACUAGAGGGCAGACAAUACCUAUUCAUUACAUAGCUGGUCUCAUUUGGUGGCACAAAAUGAGCUAUUAAAAAAUCUUGUUUUGGCAUCUGCGCACAGAUGUGUGUAUAAAUGCCUGUGCCCCAUUUGUUAGUUUAUGCGAGCGCAUGUGUUUGCAUAAUGUGUGUCUUGUGUACUGUUUGUUUGUAUUUGUGUGUAUACUACUGGUCCAGGUGAUGCUGAGCCCGCCGUGUGGUCUGUGGGGGGGGGGGGGGGGGGUACAGGAGAGAGGCCCAGGCAGCUGUAUUUGGAAUAAACAGACAUUACCCCGCUGUGUUCUAAUUUACUGCAGAGUGGGAAUUAAACUUUAAACUUGUCCCGCCCCUCUGCAGUCCAACGCUCCAUGCUUCUGGCCAUCAACAGCCACUUGCACAAUGGACAUUAUUGAAGUGUGACAUCACCCCCAAUGUGUCUUUUUAGUAUCAUAUUCAUGCCCCCAGCAGGCUAAAAGGUGGAUGUAAAUGUCUUUGAUACAGAAAAGACUUUGGAAUAAGUGGAAGCUCGUAGUUCAAUGUGGCUAACUCUAUUUAGUAAACUGAUGUAUGGGUGGAAAGGCUGAGCUCACAAAUAGACAUCUGAGAAGGAGGUUAUAUUGCAGAAGUGGUCUGAGAUGCAUCUGUAGAUAUUUUUAUAGUUUCUGGAAACUGUUUCUCACUACAGGCAUCUUCAGGCCACUGGAGGUACUUCACAGUCAAAAGAUAAAUUCAAAGCAGGACAAUUUCACAGAUAUUCUCUAAAAUAUUAAUGCAAAUUCCAAUUGCAUUUCAUGGUUUUGUUUGAGAACAGCCUUAGAACAUUUUUACCAUUAGAACAUUAAUGUUGCAAUAUUAUUAUUUUCCAGAUGGCCGCUGCUAGAAGUUGCUCUAGCAUUAUGUAACUCCGACUGCAAAACUAAUUCACAUUGCUAUCUAAUGCGUACAAGCAGAAUAAUCACAGAGUUAAAUGUGCAUUGAAACGUUGCCAAGAACUUUCCCUCGCUGCAGGUUUAUGCUGCAGGAUGACAUGUGGCUCUCAUAGAACAAUCAGUCAAAUUCCUCAUUUGUGAGAGACAAACUCAAGCAGAUUGUUCUCGCUCGCCCUCUUUCUCUCUCUCUUUGUCUCCUCUGAUGUUUUGCAACCACCAGUCCCACCACCUGGACGAGCGAAUGACAAACAAACUACACAUUUUCCUUCCAGUAACUGACCAAGUAGAUAUUUAUAACCAGCUGGUCACCUCCCCAACCCACUGUAACCCCCCCACCCCCACCUCCCAGCCACGGCUGUGAGAGCUCCCUUUAAAGAGCAGUUGUGUCACUUUUGGCUUUGUUUUUAAACAAAGAGAACUGCCCCUCAUCUGCCCAUAAUUGGGCCAGCUCUUGGAAUGUGCUUGAUGUCUCCGCAGAGGCCACAGCGGCUUCAAUGGAUAGUCAUGGGUUGCUAGGCGAUGGGGAUUAUUGAAUGGAAAUCCAUCACGCCGUUCCCACAGUUUUCAUUACUUUCCAUUGUCUCCUCGUUACCUCUUAUUUUCUCAUGUUUAACCUUCACUCCACUUUCCUCAGGAUGUCGGAUGUCCCCAUUAACUCAUCAUAUCCCAGUUUGCAGGCCGUUCUUCCUGCCUCUGUGAGCUGUGCCAUCUCUCACUACAAGGCCGAUCGGUGGCUCAUGUCGCUGGCAGUUACGUCGAGGCGACGCUGACCAUGAGCAGACGGCUAACACUGGAUCAGAGGGUGUUUACGGUGUUAAGAGAAGCAACGUAGAGAGUUCAAAUUCCACUUGCAAGGGAGGAAAAAUGUUGAAGCAGUAGUUGGCAGGCUACCAAAAGCUUGAGCCCCUAAUUGUUUUCAUUAAUAGCAAAUAAUCUCAGACUUCUUACUCGGUAUUCUGGGAAACAUUAUGGUGUUGUGUUCAAGACGUGUACAUCUGGAAAGUCUCUGAGGAUUAACCUCAAAUCAAAUCGCUAGCAAUCACACAAACCCCAGGUGAAAAGUUAUAGGCUUUCACUCAGCAACCACAGACAUGCCAGUGUCUUUGUAGAGCGUUGUGUACCUUUUGGUGUUUAAGCAACCUUGUCCCCCGGAUUCAGCCCUUUGGUUUUGGUCAUGACUCAUUUACUCCCCAAUCCUUCACCUUUCACCCCCAGCUCCACUCUCCGUGUCACCCCACAGCUACCCUGACUAAGUAAACACAUGAUGUAACGUGUGGUUUUCACCUCCCACCCGGCUCCACCCACGUUUAGAGGUGAUUAGGCUGGAGUGCAGCGAUUUUAGGUGGAGAUGGCUGGGCGUCGCAUUGAAGGUCUCGAAAAAAGAGGAGGAGCUGGAAAUAGAAGAGCGCAAACAGACGGGGAUUUAGCAAGACAGGUUGUGGGUAAAUAAGGAAGGAGGACACGCGAAGGUCACCAAUGGGGUGGGAUUCAAUGCGGACACUCAACAGCUUUGGUUUAUCUUUGUGGGCCGGGAUUCCUAAAAUUCAAGCCAGUGGCUCCACCUCCCACAGCCCGUCUGGGCUCCAGGUUCCAGGUGGGCGACUGGGACGGUUGACUCCAGCACACGGCACCCACUGCCUGGCGACUCCAGUGCUGCCAGACUCAUUGUCAUUCGCAUCCCCCCACUGAUAUCCUCCCCGCUGGACCCCAGCUUGGGCUGGGCUUCCCCUCUAUCUGUAGCUCCGGCCUCCUGGGUCUGCGUCUGGCGAGGAGGACAGAACUCGUUCGCUUGGUGUGAAUGAGGCAGAACACUCCCGAGGGCCGUGUUCAGCCAGCAAGCCUGUCAGGAAAACACAGGAACCGUGCAUGUGAUUGCUGUGCCCUGCAGACCUCCGUGGCCCCGCGUGGAGGUCUACACGUGUUGGGCCACUCUCUGGUGUGUUCAGACGAUGUUUCACACCAUCGGGGUUGACUUAUCCGGGCAGAGGAAGGUUCCCAGUGAUUAGACGUAUGCCACAGACAGCUUUGGAAUGUUUUUACAGAAGGGCCUGGGGACCCUCAACAACAGGAGAGGAGCGAAGAGAUGGGACCGCAAGUCCCCUCAGAGGCUCGGUUCUCCAUUGGUGUCUUUAAUGGAUGUCAGAUGUUCGUGAGGAGGCCGUAGCGUGAGUGUGUUUCAUGUUAGCUCUCAGCAUGAUGAGCAGGGAACCAGCUGGAGAUGAACAGACUGCUCCGGCCCCCCUCACAAUACCUCCAUUUUUCAGUCCUGUGAAGUAAUGCCGUCCUGCUUUUCUUAGAGCAAUAUAUUGGAAUUAAUAAAGACAAACAAUCGCAAACAUUGGGUAAUGGGAGCCAAGGAGAAGACAUUUUGGCUUCCUCGAGAACAGGACUGCAGCCGCUCUCCUUCUCACUAUAAAUCUUGUGGUAGUUUCAAUAGUUGGAUGGUGAUGCUCAGUAUUUUCCCGAGCUGAUUACAAAGGAGUUCAAGGCGCACUGCUUUGUGUUACUGCGAACAGCCACGGUGCCUAAUGCUGCAACGGGCCACUUCAAUCACACACUUUGUCACACAAUAUCAAUUCGGACCCUUAAAGGAAUUUGUUAUUCAUCAAAACAAUUGCUGUAUAGAGUUGUUUUUCUUUACUUUAGGUGGCAUCUGAGUGAACACAGCUGAAGGCCUGUCCUCCUCCGGGAAUGCAGCUCAUACCCCAAUUGCUUAAUAGGAAGUCAAGUCUCUCCCAAACAUCUUGGCUGAGACGGCAUCCUUCGACCACAAGCUCUAAACACUGAAGCUCACAUUUCUCCUGCCGUCUCUGAAACGGUUUAUUUGCCUCGUUUGAGGGUUUCACUUUGCAAUAUUGGCCUUUGGGGAGCGCUGGCGAUGAGGACAGAGCUUGGACGCUGAGUCCAGUGAGUGACUAAUACAGCGUGAUGCACAGAGUGAUGUUGGCAACAUUUUAUAAGGUGAUGGAAAAUAAACAAGUCCAGGUGUUGGGUGAGGGGAAAACCAUCCCACGUGUGACUCUACAUGUGUAUUAUGGGGGGGUUGAUGAGUGGGAGAGGCCACUAAGUGGAAAAGUGUGACUCAUUCUCUAUCUUCAUUCCUUUGGUGAACAAUAAAACUGCAUCAAGGCCAA